GUGAAUCAUCAAAUCUUUGAACGCAAAUUGCACUCUCUGGUAUUCCGGAGAGUAUGCCUGUUUGAGGGUCAGUUUAAAUAAAAACCGGUUUGGUUGCUGCCUUUCGUGGUGACGCUCCGGAUUUGGGUCGUCGUUCUUUCGGUUAAGUGACCUAAACUUAAGCAUGAGUUCGUUCGUUCGAAUUUAA
rnacentral:misc_RNA from 1 species